GCAGCAGUGAGGAAUAUUGGUCAAUGGGCGCGAGCCUGAACCAGCCAAGUCGCGUGAGGGAUGAAGGUCCUAUGGAUCGUAAACCUCUUUUAUAAGGGAAUAAAGUGUGGGACGUGUCCUAUUUUGUAUGUACCUUAUGAAUAAGGAUCGGCUAACUCCGUGCCAGCAGCCGCGGUAAUACGGAGGAUCCGAGCGUUAUCCGGAUUUAUUGGGUUUAAAGGGUGCGUAGGCGGCCUUUUAAGUCAGCGGUGAAAGUCUGUGGCUCAACCAUAGAAUUGCCGUUGAAACUGGGGGGCUUGAGUAUGUUUGAGGCAGGCGGAAUGCGUGGUGUAGCGGUGAAAUGCUUAGAUAUCACGCAGAACCCCGAUUGCGAAGGCAGCCUGCCAAGCCAUGACUGACGCUGAUGCACGAAAGCGUGGGGAUCAAACAGGAUUAGAUACCCUGGUAGUCCACGCAGUAAACGAUGAUCACUAGCUGUUUGCGAUACAGUGUAA
rnacentral:rRNA from 1 species